AUUGAACGCUGGCGGCAGGCCUAAUACAUGCAAGUCGAACGAGUGGCGGACGGGCGAGUGAUGGCUGGGAAACUGCCUGAUGGAGCGGGAUAACUACUGGAACCGGUAGCUAAUACCGCAUAACACCGGAUGUGCCCAGAUGGGAUUAGCUAGUGGGUGGGGUAAUGGCUCACCUAGGCGACGAUCCCUAGCUGGUCUGAGAGGAUGACCGGCCACACUGGAACUGAGACACGGUCCAGACUCCUACGGGAGGCAGCAGUGGGGAAUAUUGCACAAUGGGCGCAAGCCUGAUGGAGCCAUGCCGCGUGUAUGAAGAAGGCCUUCGGGUUGUAAAGUACUUUCAGCGAGGAGGCGUUACUCGCAGAAGAAGCACCGGCUAACUCCGUGCCAGCAGCCGCGGUAAUAC
rnacentral:rRNA from 1 species